rnacentral:misc_RNA from 1 species
UUUCCGUAGGUGAACCUGCGGAAGGAUCAUUAUUGUAUAACCGAGGUGCGAGUGCUGUCGCUGACCCGACAUGUCGUGCACGCCCGAGUGCCCUCACACACAUCCAUCUCACCCCUAUGUAAACCACCGCGUGGGUCACCCUUUUGCUUGUUCGGAGGGGGGCUUACGUUUUCACAAAAACUUUGUAUGCAGUGUAGAAUGUAUUUUUUGUAUUUGAGAUCACGCAAUAAAUACAACUUUCAACAACGGAUCUCUUGGCUCUC